AGAAGUAGUAGACUAAACCGCAAAGGGUCGGCCUAACGUACGUAGNGUUACGUAUGACUGGGGUG
rnacentral:rRNA from 1 species